rnacentral:rRNA from 1 species
AGUAAUGCGUGACCAACCUCGCCCCAUGCUCCAGAAUAGCUCUUGGAAACGGGUGGUAAUGCUGGAUGCUCCAACUUGACGCAUGUCUUGUUGGGAAAGUGUUUAGUGGCAUGGGAUGGGGUCGCGUCCUAUCAGCUUGUAGGCGGGGUAAUGGCCCACCUAGGCUUCGACGGGUAGCCGGCCUGAGAGGGCGGACGGCCACAUUGGGACUGAGAUACGGCCCAGACUCCUACNGGGGAGGCAGCAGCG